CUUGAUCGAUCCGAGCAGCAGCGGCCGGUCGUCGGGCCGGUCCCGCCCGUAGGUGGCCAGCAGCGCCUGCGCCUC
rnacentral:antisense_RNA from 1 species